rnacentral:rRNA from 1 species
CCUACGGGCGGCAGCAGUAGGGAAUAUUGCUCAAUGGGGGAAACCCUGAAGCAGCAACGCCGCGUGGAGGAUGAAGGUUUUCGGAUUGUAAACUCCUUUUGUUAGAGAAGAUAAUGACGGUAUCUAACGAAUAAGCACCGGCUAACUCCGUGCCAGCAGCCGCGGUAAUACGGAGGGGGCAAGCGUUACUCGGAAUCACUGGGCGUAAAGAGCGCGUAGGCGGGAUAGCAAGUCAGAUGUGAAAUCCUAGGGCUUAACCAUAGAACUGCAUUUGAAACUGUUAUUCUAGAGUAUGGGAGAGGUAGGUGGAAUUCUUGGUGUAGGGGUAAAAUCCGUAGAGAUCAAGAGGAAUACUCAUUGCGAAGGCGACCUGCUAGAACAUAACUGACGCUGAUGCGCGAAAGCGUGGGGAGCAAACAGGAUUAGAUACCCCGGUAGUC